rnacentral:tRNA from 2 species
GCGGACGUGGCGAAACUGGUAGACGCAAGGGACUUAAAAUUCCUCGAUCCUAGAUCAUGCGGGUUCGAUUCCCGCCGUCCGCACCA